rnacentral:rRNA from 1 species
UAACGACUCUCGGCAACGGAUAUCUCGGCUCUCGCAUCGAUGAAGAACGCAGCAAAAUGCGAUACUUGGUGUGAAUUGCAGAAUCCCGUGAAUCAUCGAGUUUUUGAACGCAAGUUGCGCCCGAAGCCUUCAGGCCGAGGGCACGUCUGCCUGGGUGUCACGC